CCACAAGCCGUGAUUCCCUUUCUGCCCGGAGAUCAUGACUCUCCAUUGAUCACUACCAAGGUGACCCAAUAGGGCAUCACUAUGUAGCCUUUACAAAGAUUCCCCGGGGUUGUAGCCGCCCGUUAGGUUUCCUAAAUGCACCGCACUCCUCCCCAAGGGGCGAACCCAAACUUGGCAGAGCGAGCCGCAUACACGGAGCCCCAUUGACGGCACGACGGCUAAGCGAACUACACCCCGAUUCCUCUAAUUAUUCAGCUAAGGGCAUCCCAUUCCACCCUCAUGGUUGCACUGUUUUCCCGGGCGGUCAUCCAACAAACAGGUCCUUACGGAGAGGCACUCGAGAAACCGCUCGAGCCCCCUUGAAUGCCACAAGUAUAACAUCAUAAUAAAGGAGGGGAAAACAAUGUAUCAUUGAUAAUUCUCAUCAUGUUCAUUGAUUAGAGUUGAGCAAUAGCAUAAAGCCAAACAAUAAUAAUCGAACCCAAAUAGGUAAACAAGGACAUGGAUAACAAAAUCUAGUCAAUCCUUAGGUAUAACUGUGAAAUGCGGAGGGUGAAUUAAAGAAUGUAUAGGACAGAGAUAGGUCAAGGGACACUUGCCUCCACCAACCAGCUGCUGCUCAGGGACUUCUCCUACGAGUUCCUCGGGCUCUUCAACCGGAUCGUUCUCUAUACGAGCGCAAACAUACAUACAUCCACACAUUUAAUACAAAAGAACAGUACACCAUAUAAUAGAAUGCAAUAAAUAAACAGAAGUUCCACGCGGGGCUCGCAAUUACGGUUAAGAGAGAAAGAGGAAAAGACAGUCGAGAAACGAUCACGUUACAUUAUUAUAAAUUAAACCACUCGCUUAAUAGAAGGGCAUUAAUUUGGACACUACGUUUAGCAUAAAGUAAAGUCAAGUUCCACAUUUAAUCAUUAUAAAUAAUUGAAGAUGAAUGAAAGGGAGUGGUCGCACGGCAAGACGUACGACCCCACAUUUAGAUUGAAAUGAGAAAUAAACGACUCACCACGCGACAGAGCGCGCAACGAGAUUCUUGCAUUAAUUAUAAGUAAUACGUUAAGCGUUGCGCGACGAAACGCACGAUGGCUUACGUCAACAGAACUGAGUUUAAAACGAAUCGUCGCGCGACGAAGCGCGCAACGCAACACUUUAAUAAAUAUAAAUAAAAAGAAUCGUCGUGCGACGAAGCGCGCGACGCAGCACGUCAACUAACACGGGGUUAAGGGCAGGCGCGCGGGACGCGAGUCGCCGGGGCACGGGUGCGGGCAGGGACGCGGCCGAGGGCGAGCGACCAGGGCACGACCGGGGAGCAGGGGCUCGCGGCGAGGGCGGGCUGGCGGGGCGAGGCGGGCUCGACGGGGCAAGGGCGCGCGAGGGCGCAGGGCCGAGCCGCCGGCGUCGGGCGCGGGCGCGCAGGGUGCCGUGGGCGCGGGGCCGGGGGAGGGGGCUCGCCGGGGAAGGAGGGCUCGCCGGGGGGGAGCAGGGCGCGGCCGAGGGGCGGCGCGGGGAGAGGCUCGCUGGGCGCGUGGGGAGGCCACCGGGGGCGCGGCUCGCCGGGGAGGGGGCUCGCUGGGGCGGGAGCAGGGCGCGGUCGAGGGGCGGCGCGGGAGGCUGCCGCGGCGCGGCUCGCCGGGGCAGGGAGGGCACAGGAAUGGCGCGGCGCGGCCGCGAGGGCUCGCCGGGCGCUGGACGGGGAGGGGAGGGCGCGGCCGAGCCGCCGGUGUCGGGGCGCGGGACGGAAAGGGGAGCGCGGGGUCGGGGAGGGCGCGGCCGCGGGUGGCGCGGGGACCGGGCGGCGCAGGGCGUGCGGGCAGGAGGGUCGCGCGGGGAAGAAGAAUGGGAGGGGGGAGAGAGAGAAAAGGGAAGGGGAGGGGAAAAACUCACCUCCGGGGAUCCAAACUCCGGCGAUCUCGACUCCAAACCCUAGGGCACCACGGGGAGAGAGAGACAGGUGGAAGAGGGAGAGGGAGGUUACUGCGCGGGAGAAAUCAAAUGAGACAAACGGAUCUGGGGAGGGGGCGCAUGAGGUGGGCAGGGGCGCCAGGGCGCGCGGGCCGGACCGGGCCAGGCUGGGCCGGGCUGGGCCACACCGCGGAUCGAAACCCACGACACGCACGACCAUUAAACGGAAUCCAAUCAUGAACCGAAAUCCGAAACGGAACGAGAUGAACACGCGACAUCAGACAAAGAAAUGCUCUUUGGCAUGAUGCAACACCCAUGACACUUAAGUUUUGUUUAUACAUGACACGGACACCUAUCACUAUACUGGUUUGAAAUUGGGAAGAAGGAGCGAAACGGGAAGAGAAAAGAGAGUAACGCCCGAAUUUGGUGAGUGAAAAGAAGAAAAAAAUUCUACCCCCAAAUUCAGGGCGUUACAAACCUAUCCCCCUUAAAAGAAUCUCGCCCUCGAGAUUCAAGGUGGGCUAGCAAAGAGCUCAGGGUAUUUAGCCAUCAGAUCAUCUUCACGCUCCCAGGUUGCUUCUUCCUCAGAGUGGUGAUUCCAUCUGACUUUGCACAUUCUGAUGGUCUUCCUUCGGGUGACUCUGUCUGCAGUCUCAAGGAUUUGCGUUGACUUCUCAAUGUAGGUCAAGUCCUCCUGGACUUCAAGGCCUUCCACUGGCAACUGCUCUUCUGGCACUCGCAGACACUUCUUCAACUGAGACACAUGAAAGACAUCAUGCACUGCAGACAAACCCUCUGGUAAACUGAGCUGAUAGGCCACUUCUCCACGCCUUGCGAGAAUCUGAUACAGACCAAUGUAGCGGGGUGCUAGCUUGCAUUUGACUCCGAAUCUUCUGACUCCUCUGAUCGGCGAAACCUUCAAAUAGACGAAGUCACCGACUUCGAAACUCAGAUCUCUUCUUCUUGUUUCUGCAUAGCUUCGCUGCCUUGAUUGCGCUAUCUUCAGAUUCUCUUGGACCAUCUUGAUGUUCUCUUCAGCUUCAAGCAGAAUGUCUGGCCCGAACAUUUGCUUUUCUCCAGGCUGAUCCCAUUGCAACGGAGUUCUACAACUCCUUCCAUAGAGUGCCUGAAAUGGUGACAUCUUCAAGCUGGCCUGGUAACUGUUGUUAUAGGAGAACUCUGCAUAAGGCAACCUCUUGUCCCAUCCGGACUGAUCCUGCAACGCACAGGCUCUCAACAUGUCUUCAAGGAUUUGAUUGGUCCUUUAGGUCUGACCAUCUGUCUGCGGAUGAUAGGCGGAACUGAAAUUUAGAUGUGUACCCAAAGCUUCAUGCGACUGCUGCCAGAAAUGAGAGGUGAACUGCAUUCCUUUAUCUGACACUAUCUUCUUUGGCACACCAUAAAGACAAACGAUCCGAGACAUGUACAACUCUGCCAACACUGCACUGCGUAGUUGGUCUUGACAGGUAUGAAGUGGGCUGACUUGGUCAAGCGGUCCACCACUACCCAAAUGGAAUCAUAGCCGGCUCGAGUGCGAGGCAAUCCGACUAUGAAAUCCAUACCGAUUUCAUCCCAUUUCCACUGAGGAAUUUGCAACGGUUGCAACAAUCCAGCUGGUCUCUGGUGCUCUGCCUUGAUCCGUCGACAACUAUCACACAUAGCCACAUGCUCUGCGAUUUCCCUCUUCAUUCUGUACCACCAGAAUUUCUUCUUCAGAUCUUGAUACAUCUUCUCACUUCCUGGGUGAAUCGAAUAAGCUGUCUCAUGAGCUUCCUUGAGGAUCAACUCCCGAAUAGACUGGACAUUGGGACACACAAGCGGUCUUUGAACCAUAUCACACCUUCUGCAUCUUCCCGAAAAUCUUUGCCUCUGCCUUCUAGAAUCAGUCGUCGGAUCUCACUGAUCUUCUCAUCAUUCUUCUACGCUUCUUUGAUUUCCUGCUCUAGGGUAGGUUCUAACUCAAUUGCGACUCCUCGUGUAUUAUUUAGAAAUCCGAGGCUCAACCUGUCAAACUCUUUGGCCAACUCAUAAGGCAUCGGACGAGCGACCAUCAGAUUGACCUGACUCUUCCUGCUCAAAGCGUCUGCCACUACGUUCGCUUUGCCCGGAUGAUAAUGAAUCUCCAACUCGUUGUCUUUGAUCAACUCUAACCAUCUUCGCUGCCUCAUAUUCAACUCUGACUGAGUGAAUAUGUACUUCAGACUCUUGUGGUCUGUGUAAACAUCACAUUUCUGUCCAUACAGAUAGUGCCUCCAUGUCUUCAAUGCGUGAACCACUGCUGCCAACUCUAGGUCAUGGAUUGGGUAAUUCUUCUCGUGAACUUUCAGCUGUCGGGACGAGUAAGCCACAACUCUUCCCUCUUGCAUCAACACACAUCCCAAACCAGUGUAACAAGCAUCGCAAUACACCGAGAAGGGCUUGUGCACAUCAGGCAAGACUAAGACAGGUGUUGUAUUCAACUUUUCUUUCAGCGCUUCGAAGGCCUCUUGACAUUUUUGGGUCCACUUGAACUCAACCUUGUUGCCUAGCAAAGCUGUCAUUGGUUUCACAAUCUUCGAGAACCCUUCGAUGAAUCGCCGAUAAUAUCCGGCCAUUCCAAUGAAGCUCUUGAUUCCUCGAGCAUCUGUUGGCGCUUUCCAGUUCAGAAUGUCUGCCACUUUCUUCGGAUCCACAUCCAAACCUUACUUGUUGAUUAUAUGACCCAAGAACAGGACUUCACUGAUCCAGAACUCGCACUUGCUCAACUUUGCAUACAACUGGUGCUCUCGCAAUCUCUGCAGAACCAUCCUCAAAUGAUCUGCAUGCUCUUCUUCGCUUUGAGAAUAUAUCAGAAUGUCAUCAAUAAAUACCACCACAAACUUAUCAAGAUAAUCCAUGAAUACACUGUUCAUCAAGUUCAUGAAGAAGGCCGGUGCACUGGUUAGACCGAAAGACAUCACAGUGAACUCAUACAACCCAUACAUGGUAAUGAAUGCCGUCUUCGGAAUGUCUGAAGGUCGAAUCCUGAGUUGAUGAUAACCUGACCUCAGAUCUAUCUUGGAGAACACGAUGGCUCCUCUCAACUGGUUGAACAGAUCUUCUAUUCUGGGCAAGGGGUACUUGUUCUUGAUUGUAACUUCAUUCAGAGCUCGAUAAUCGAUACACAUUCUUCUGGUGCCAUCUUUCUUCUCCACAAAUAGGACAGGGGCGGCCCAAGGCGAGGUGCUUGGCCGAAUGUAUCCUUUCUCUGACAGCUCAUCGAUCUGCUUCUUAAGUUCAACCAACUCUGAUCCAGAUACUCUAUAAGCUCUCUUAAAGAUGAGGGUGGUUCCAGGAAGAAGCUCUAUGGCAAACUCAACUUUCCGCUCUAGUGGCAUACCUGGUAGGUCCUUUGGAAACACAUCUAGGAACUCGAACACAACCUUUAUACUCUCAAUUGGGUCUGCUUCACUGCUAUCGACAGCCAUCUGAUAACAACUUCCUUUCUUCGGCUCAGGCGGGACUAACUCGGUCACCACUUCCUCUCCUAGUGGGGACACCAACUUGAUUGCCCUCUUAUCACAACUGAUAACUGCCUGAUACUUAUCUAGCCAAUUCAUCCCUAGGAUGACAUCUGUUCCCUGAGUACCCAUUACUAUGAGGUUAGCGGGAAACGCUAUCCCCCUUAUUUCCACCCUUACAUUCAAACAAAUGCUAUCGGCUUCAAUUCUACCACCGGCUGAGUCAAUUUGAAUGGGGGUUGACAUGGCAGUUAUUAGAAGAUUAUGUGCUUCUACCCAUGAUGUAGUAAUAAAUGAAUGCGUUGCUCCAGUAUCAAAUAACACUUUCUGCAAUAUGGGAGUCGACUGGGAACAUACCUACUAUCAUGCCGGGGGUUUCCUGAACUGCUUCAGCCUCCAAGUGAUUCAGUCUCCCAUGAUUAUAGCGCGGCUGAGAGCGGUUGCUUGCUCCAGGCUGAGACACACUCUGCUUUGCUGGGGCAUUGGGGCCUGACUACUGCUGGACUACCUUCUUCGGACAUUGCAUCACCCAAUGGCCUUGCUCCCCACAGUGGAAACAUGCUCUGUUUCCAACCUGAGCUGGUGCUGCUUGAUUGUUCUGCUGGUUUGCUGGGGCAGGAAGACGAGGUGCCUACUGAUUCUGCCUCUGGAACUGACCUCCUCCUGACUGAUUGUUCUGGCGAUUCUGCUGCUGGUGCUGAGGAUACUGCCUUUGGAACUGCUGCUACUGAGGUGGACGCUGGUUCUGCCUGAACUGUUGAGGUUGAUUGCCUAAGAAACAAGGACGAUUGCUGCUUUCAGGCUGGGGUCCACUGAUCUUGCGCUUGUGAUCCUCCAUCUCUUUGCGCUUCCUCUCUGUCAUGAUCGCUCUGUCAAUCAGGUGCUGAAACGUGGGGAAAGUAUGAUUCAUCAACUGAUACUGCAGAGGGUCAACCAAGCCUCUCAGGAAACGAUACUGUCUCUUGGCGUCGGUGUUGACAUCUUCAAGAGCAUAGUGAGACAACUGCAGAAACUUGUCCCGGUACACACUAACAGACAAUGACCCUUGCUUGAGGGCUAGGAACUCCUCCUUCUUCACUGUCAUCAGACCUGCAGGAACAUGGUACUGACGAAAGCUACCUCUGAAUUCUUCCCAGGUGAUGGUGUUAGGGUUGGCAUGGGUGGCGAGAUAAGACUCCCACCAAGACUGAGCUGCUCCUCUCAACAGACGAGGACCAUACAGGACUUUUUCCCUGUCAUCACACUGAGCAGUAUGCAACUCCCGCUCCACUGUGCGCAGCCAGUCUUCAGCAUCCAUGGGGUCAGAAGAGUGAACAAACGUAGGGGGAUGACCUCUCAUGAAUUCAGCACGCUUGUCCCUGGGCAUCUGAGGCUGAGGCUGAGGUGGUGGCUGCUGCUGCUGCUGAAUAGCGGCCAGAGUCUGACCAAUGGCUUGAAUUGUCUGAGUCUGCAUUAGGAACAUCUGCUCGAUGGACAUCGGGGGUGGGGGCAGCAGUUGCUGUUGCUGGGGUACCUCAUCCUGCUGAGAUGCUUGCUCCUGCUGAGCACGCCUUCCUCCUCUGUGCCUGUUUUCUGACAUCUCAACACUGAACAGAUGAACAUCUUCACUGAUCUCCAACACAGACCAACACAGCUUCUCAGAUAAAGAGGAAAGUGGAAUAAAAGGCUUCCCAACUAGAUAACUAGCUUCAUUAACAUAUAAUAGGUAAACCAAAAUGCAGGGGAUACCCACACUAUGGUGACAGUCAUUACAAAGAUCCAAAUCAAACAUAGUUCAUCAUGACAAACAUAAAUGCACAGGAUAAGCAAACUACCCUGUCUAACUAAGACUAACUAAGAGCGAGACUAACGCUAAGACUAUAGCUUCUAUAUAUAUAUAUUCGUAUUAAUUACAAGAUCCGACUCUGACGAUCUAUGGUUCUAAAUUUAUCUUGGUCUUGCAGUCGGGGUUCCCAUAAGACUGAUGUCCAUGCCGAGGUGAGCGGUACGGGUGCUGAGUCCCGACGGGAGAGAGGGAGCCAUCAUCCAGGUGACGACGCUCCGCGCGCUCAGCCCACAGCUGGGCGAUCUCAGCAUGAGCCCUACUCAGCUCGUCUAAUGCAUGGUCCAGCUCCGUGUUUAGCAUAGUGGCUAGGUUGAAUGUGCUGCUCAACCUAGGAUUGUCCUCACCAACAGGUGAGACAAUCACGCCUCUUGUGCUGCCAGAUGGACGGCGGGGGUAAUACUUCAGGUUGAGACCGUCAGCUACCCCACCGAGCACUGAGCAAUAGUGCGAAAGCGCACGUCGUGCGGCAUCUUGCAUGGCCGCCUCAGCUGAGUCCCGCUUAGAGAUGGAAUAGUGCUCUGAGCAGACCUCAGCACCCUAGAGACUGUUCUUCGGACGGCGCACCAAGUAGGUCGCCUCCCAGCGGUCCAGGUAGACCCCGCGACUGUGCUGGAAGACCACACAGCGAUACUCGAUAGACCAAGUACGCCGGUCAAGUGCCUGACGUAGCAGGGUGUCGAGCGCAUCGUGGAAGUGACACCCGCGAGCAGCGUCGCGAGUGAUGGGUCGAGCAACCCAUCCUUCCGGCUCUUGGUCAGCAGAAAAGUCGGUGUUGUGGCUCGAGCUGUUGUCGCCACCUCCAUCGUCUGGGUCUCCUCCAGCGGCUGGGGCGCUCAGUGGUGGUGCAGGGGGCGCCUCCAGGGGAAGCACAGGGGAGCAGCUCCUCACAGACUCUAUCUCCUACUGGAGCGAGCAAGAAGAGCCCUGCUGCUCCUGUCGUCGACGCUCCUGCUCCUCAUGCAGGCGAUGGUGCAGCCUCUCCAAGUGGCUGGACUGACCGGUCACUGGACGGCGAAGCGGACGCUCCGCGAGACGACAGGGUAAGAAGGGGAUGACAGACUUCCGUGCAGUGUGUCUAAGACGAGCCAUCUACAAAAGACACCGUAAGCAUAAGAGUGAGAACAGAACUAAUAUGACCAGCAAGUAAUGAACCAUAAAUAAAUGAAGGAUUAGAAUAAAACACAAUUUUCAGCAAGGUAUAAUAUAUAGUAGAACAUAGGUUUGGUCGAUAUGACCAACUUUUGAAAGGAUACCAAAGUCAAGGCAAGAAUAGGGGUCUAUAAUCCUUAGAACGACCAUUCUACUCUAGGUUAGCAGUCCUACAGUCAGCACGGCUUUGAUACCACCUAUGUCACACCCGAUUUUAGAAGGCAAACCGAAUGCGAACCAUGUACGUGCCAGGAUCAGCAAUUCACGUACAAAGCAGUUACAUAAGUGGACAUCAUCACACAGUGCUCAAAUGAUAAUAUAAAAGGGAAAUAAUAGUCGAUUACAUCAUAUGUCUGAGACGUCCACAUAGUCUUUACAAUAAUCAAAGUGCGGAAUAGAAACGUAGAUAAACGCGGCCUUCACAGGCAGCCGAUUAGGGGUUGCCGCUAACCCACGCCUAGAACUCAUCAUAAUCUUGGAACUCCUAGUGGUCUCCUUCAACAGCUUCAUCUUCUCCUGAGCAGGGGUUGCAAUGCUGACAACCUGGGGAGGGGGGGUUUGGUGUGUAGAGCAAGGGUGAGUACACAUCAACAUACUCAGCAAGUAUCCUGUUUUGGCUGUAGUGGACUAGAUUUAUGUGGGGGUAAGUCAAGCAGUUGCUUUUAGUUGGUCAGAUUAUUAUUACUAGUAGAGAAAGCCAAGUUUUAGAGUUAACCCACGUUAUUAACUCAAACGUAAUCCUUUCCAAACGGAAAGAUUACCACUUACCCUUACCAGAGUCAAUACCAAGAACCAUCAAACUCAUUGCCACCUGCAAUCCGAACAUCUCUGAUCAAGUACCACUAAUCACUGGAGCUCCCUUGGCCGCUCAUAACCGCGAGCACGAUUGAUACAUCAGUUUUCAUACACUCAGAAGAGGUUGUGCACUUUACCCACAAGCCGUGAUUCCCUUUCUGCCCGGAGAUCAUGACUCUCCAUUGAUCACUACCAAGGUGACCCAGCAGGGCAUCACUACGUAGCCUUUACAAAGAUUCCCCGGGGCUGUAGCCGCCUGUUAGGUUUCCUAAAUGCCCCGCACUCCUCCCCAAGGGGCGAACCCAAACUUGGCAGAGCGAGCCGCAUACACCGAGCCCCAUUGACGGC
rnacentral:lncRNA from 1 species